rnacentral:misc_RNA from 1 species
GAGAAAUGUAUAAUUGUCUGGGAAAUCCGAGUUGUGGGGUGGGAGGUGAGCUACGGUGCUGAGUUUGUGCCUGAUGCUAAAGAUGCAUAUACAGUCAUCGUACAGAAACCGACAAAAUUGGCCCCAAUCGAUGAACCAGUGGUGACUAGCAGCUUCAUAGUUGGUGAACUGGGUAAAAUCUUGCUCACAGUGGACAAUUCAACCUCAAAA